UUUCCGUAGGUGAACCUGCGGAAGGAUCAUUAUCGUAAAACCGAAGUGCGAGGGCUGUCGCUGACCUUUUCGGUCGUGCACGCCAGAUAGCUCUCACACAAUCCAUCUCACCCCUUGUGCACCACCGCGUGGGUCCCUUUCUGGCUCGUCUGGAGGGGGGCUCUCGUUUUCACACAAACUUGAAGUAGUGUAGAAUGUCCUUUUUUUGCGAUAACACGCAAUCAAUACAACUUUCAACAACGGAUCUCUUGGCUCUC
rnacentral:misc_RNA from 1 species